rnacentral:rRNA from 1 species
UGGAGGGCAAGUCUGGUGCCAGCAGCCGCGGUAAUUCCAGCUCCAAUAGCGUAUAUUAAAGUUGUUGCAGUUAAAAGGCUCGUAGUCGAAUUUCGGGGUCAGUAGGCUGGUCGUGCCACAGGUAUGUACUGGUCUCACUGAUUCCUCCUUCCUGAUGAACCGUAAUGCCAUUAAUUUGGUGUUGCGGGGAAUCUGGACUGUUACUUUGAAAAAAUUAGAGUGUUUAAAGCAGGCUAACGCUUGAAUACAUUAGCAUGGAAUAAUGAAAUAGGACGAUCGAUCCUAUUUUGUUGGUUUCUAGGAUUGACGUAAUGAUUAAUAGGGAUAGUUGGGGGCAUUAGUAUUCAAUUGUCAGAGGUGAAAUUCUUGGAUUUAUUGAAGACUAACUACUGCGAAAGCAUUUGCCAAGGAUGUUUUCAUUAAUCAAGAACGAAAGUUAGGGGAUCGAAGACGAUCAGAUACCGUCGUAGUCUUAACCAUAAACUAUGCCGACUAGGAUUCAGACGAUGUUAAUUUUUUAAUGACUCGUUCGGCACCUUACGGGAAACCAAAGUGUUUGGGUUC